rnacentral:rRNA from 1 species
ACGGGAGGCAGCAGUAGGGAAUAUUGCACAAUGGGGGAAACCCUGAUGCAGCGACGCCGCGUGAGCGAUGAAGUAUUUCGGUAUGUAAAGCUCUAUCAGCAGGGAAGAUAAUGACGGUACCUGACUAAGAAGCCCCGGCUAACUACGUGCCAGCAGCCGCGGUAAUACGUAGGGGGCAAGCGUUAUCCGGAUUUACUGGGUGUAAAGGGAGCGUAGGUGGUUUGGCAAGCCAGAUGUGAAAGCCCGGGGCUCAACCCCGCGGACUGCAUUUGGAACUGUUAAACUUGAGUGCAGGAGAGGAAAGUGGAAUUCCUAGUGUAGCGGUGAAAUGCGUAGAUAUUAGGAGGAACACCAGUGGCGAAGGCGGCUUUCUGGACUGUAACUGACACUGAGGCUCGAAAGCGUGGGGAGCAAACAGGAUUAGAUACCCUGGUA